rnacentral:rRNA from 1 species
AGUGAACGCUGGCGGUAGGCCUAACACAUGCAAGUCGAACGGCAGCACAGUAAGAGCUUGCUCUUACGGGUGGCGAGUGGCGGACGGGUGAGGAAUACAUCGGAAUCUACUUUUUCGUGGGGGAUAACGUAGGGAAACUUACGCUAAUACCGCAUACGACCUACGGGUGAAAGCAGGGGAUCUUCGGACCUUGCGCGAUUGAAUGAGCCGAUGUCGGAUUAGCUAGUUGGCGGGGUAAAGGCCCACCAAGGCGACGAUCCGUAGCUGGUCUGAGAGGAUGAGCAGCCACACUGGAACUGAGACACGGUCCAGACUCCUACGGGAGGAAGCAGUGGGGAAUAUUGGACAAUGGGCGCAAGCCUGAUCCAGCCAUACCGCGUGGGUGAAGAAGGCCUUCGGGUUGUAAAGCCCUUUUGUUGGGAAAGAAAAGCAGCAGGUUAAUACCCCGCUGUUCUGACGGUACCCAAAGAAUAAGCACCGGCUAACUUCGUG